GGGAUAGGAGUUCUGAAGAAAAUAAGAAUGAAGGAGAAAAAUAAGAAUUAAGGAGAAUUGAAAAAAAUAUAAAUAAAGAGAUUUUUUAUUUCUUUUUAAUUUUUAUUUUCAUUUUUGUUUUCAUUUUUUACUCUUUUUUUUUUUGCCUUUUUAUAAUAUCAAUUUUUGUUAUUGUGGAUUAUUUUUUACAAUAUUUAGUUCAAAUAUAUUCAAUUAAAAUAAUUUUUUUUAUUAUAUUUAUAAAUCUGAAAAUUUGAGUUGAUGUCAGUUUUAUAUAACUAUAGAAAUAUAAAAAUAUUUCACAUGCAUUGCACGGAGUGAAAAUGUUAGUUUAUAACUAUUAAAUUAAAUUAUUGGUCAA
rnacentral:lncRNA from 1 species